AGUUGACAGCUGUCUCCCGGGAGACCAUCAGUACUGGAAAUGAGGGCAUUGGGCUUCAACUGGAAAUGUUUCCCUUGGCACAGACCCAGGCUGGAAGAAUGGCGCCCGGUGAGAGGUCACGCCCGAGGAUAAACAUACAAUUCCAAAGGCCUGCCAGCCACAUCAAAGAGCUUCUCCCAAGAAGGCAUAAGCCAGGAGAGGAAGCUCCAGAGUGGGAGGAGAGUGAUAUUUUGAACCAAAAAACAAGAGUCAAAUGAGGCCAACAAUGCGCAAAGCUCGGGCACAGCAUAAAGUGUACUUCCCUUUGCUCCAUUAUGGGCCAAUUUAUGAGGAGUUUUUCAAGAAGUCCUGGACACAGGUUCAAGGAAUCAUUUUCUUCCUACCAGCAGAAAGCACAGCUGGGCAGAAGUGUAAAUCAGUACAGUAAAUGGGCAUUGAAAUCUCAAAGGGAAACCAUCUCCAUGUGGGAUACAGAAGACACUCCACUUGCUUUUUUUAGUCCCACUGUGUU